rnacentral:rRNA from 1 species
GUCUUUUUGAUUAUAAUUUAAAGUCUAACCUGCCCACUGAAAUUUUUGAAGGGCCGCGGUAUUUUGACUGUGCAAAGGUAGCAUAAUCAUUAGUCUUUUAAUUGAAGGCUUGUAUGAAUGGUUGGAUGAGGUAUUAACUGUCUCAAUUUAAUAAGUAAUAGAAUUUUAUUUUUAAGUUAAAAAGCUUAAAUGAAGUUAAAAGACGAGAAGACCCUAUAGAUCUUUAUAAUUAAUUUUAUUAUAAUUUUUUAGAUAAAAUUUAUUUUUAUAAAAUUAAUUAUUUUAUUGGGGUGAUGAAAAAAUUUAAAAAACUUUUUUUGUAUAUAAACAAUUAUAUUUGGUUAAUUGAUCCAUUUUUUAUGAUUAUAAGAUUAAGUUACCUUAGGGAUAACAGCGUAAUUUUUUUGGAGAGUUCUUAUCGAUAAAAAAGAUUGCGACCUCGAUGUUGAAUUAAAGGUUAAUUUUAGGUGUAGAAGUUUAAAAUUUUGGUCUGUUCGACCAUUAAAUC